rnacentral:rRNA from 1 species
CGCGUAGGCGGACUUUUAAGUUAGGGGUGAAAUCCCAGGGCUCAACCCUGGAACUGCCCUUAAUACUGGAAGUCUUGAGUUCGAGAGAGGUGAGUGGAAUUCCGAGUGUAGAGGUGAAAUUCGUAGAUAUUCGGAGGAACACCAGUGGCGAAGGCGGCUCACUGGCUCGAUACUGACGCUGAGGUGCGAAAGUGUGGGGAGCAAACA